rnacentral:rRNA from 1 species
ACCGGCAGCUCAAGUGGUGGCCAUUAUUAUUGGGCCUAAAGCGUUCGUAGCCGGUUUGAUAAGUCUCUGGUGAAAUCCCGCAGCUUAACUGUGGGACUUGCUGGAGAUACUAUCAGACUUGAGGUCGGGAGAGGUUAGGGGUACUCCCAGGGGAGGGGUGAAAUCAUAUAAGCUGGGGAGGACCACCGGUGGCGAAGGCGCCUAACUGGAACAGACCUGACGGUGAGUAACGAAAGCCAGGGGCGCGAACGG